rnacentral:rRNA from 1 species
CCACACUGGGACUGAGACACGGCCCAGACUCCUACGGGAGGCAGCAGUAGGGAAUCUUCCGCAAUGGACGAAAGUCUGACGGAGCAACGCCGCGUGAGUGAUGAAGGUUUUCGGAUCGUAAAGCUCUGUUGUUAGGGAAGAACAAGUGCGAGAGUAACUGCUCGCACCUUGACGGUACCUAACCAGAAAGCCACGGCUAACUACGUGCCAGCAGCCGCGGUAAUACAA